UAGGGAAUCUUCCGCAAUGGACGCAAGUCUGACGGAGCAACGCCGCGUGAGUGAAGAAGGAUUUCGGUUCGUAAAACUCUGUUGUUAGAGAAGAACAGCGCAUAGAGUAACUGUUAUGCGUGUGACGGUAUCUAACCAGAAAGCCACGGCUAACUACGUGCCAGCAGCCGCGGUAAUACGUAGGUGGCAAGCGUUGUCCGGAUUUAUUGGGCGUAAAGCGAGCGCAGGCGGUCAAUUAAGUCUGAUGUGAAAGCCCACGGCUCAACCGUGGAGGGUCAUUGGAAACUGGAAAACUUGAGUGCAGAAGAGGAAAGUGGAAUUCCGUGUGUAGCGGUGAAAUGCGCAGAGAUAUGGAGGAACACCAGUGGCGAAGGCGACUUUCUGGUCUGUAACUGACGCUGAUGUGCGAAAGCGUGGGAAUCAAACAGG
rnacentral:rRNA from 1 species